AUUCCCAUUCGUGAGUUCAAGAGGAGAGGAGAGAGAGUGAAUUCAUCUUCUUCACCAAUCUUCAAGAUCCAUAGCCAAAUUUCCUUCUCAACUCUCAAUUUGUUCGGAUUUAAGGUGAAAUUUGGGGAAAAUCAUCCAAGAUCACUUCUAAGGAAUUGUUGACCACUUUGAGAGAAGUAAACAGAAUAAUUUUUUUUGUUUUCUUUACCCCUCAUUUCUUGUUGGAGCUCAUAUUCACCUUGCUGUUGCCGUGGAUGGGUUUGGCUAGUUAUUUGAUGUUGUCUUUAUCAUAUAUUUUGAAGACUCACAGGUUGUGAAGCGGCGUAAAAUUCUCACCUAUCAGAAUGGAUGCAAGCCAUGCCGCUGUUUACAGGUUGCAAAGCAGUGUAGAGUUCGAAGGUUUCAGGGAAUUUGAGGUAUAUUAUGGUGUUCAAACUCGUGGAGAAAGGCUGCAUUUUAUGUGCACUCAGAAAAGCACUUUCAAAAAAGAAAGGUCCGUGACUACAAUAAUUAAAGCAUUAGUAUGAGACAAGUUCUCUUAACAUAUUUUCCCAUAACUUGCGGUAUUGUGUUCCUUUUCAUUGUCAGUUAAAUAUUAUGUUAUUUAUAUGUUUUGGAAUAUUGUGUUUGGUGCCCGACGUUACCCGUUCGAAAUGAUAUAAUUAUAGAGUUUUUUAAAAAAAGUUGGUAGUUGGGCCCACAAAGAUGGUACUGAAGAAACGAUAAUAUAUUUCUCCAUAUAUUCUUUUGUAUGUUUAUUUAUUAAAAAUUGUAAUGUGGCAGACAUUGCUUUGGGAAUUGGCCUACCACAAAGGUAAAAACACUAUAGUGGCACAAGAUCCAAACUAUUUUUUAUAAUAAUGUGUCAAGACAUUUUGUUCGUAAUUGGUCCACCACAAAAGCAAAAACACUAUAGCGUCACAAGACCCAAACUAUUUUUGUAAUCACUAUAAUAUAAUAUUGAAGCCUAAAUUAUGUUUAGAUAGUGUGCGUAUAUAAUAUCCAAAGCAGGCCCAUGAAAAUAGUGUCAAAGUUGUAUUUAAGCAGCCUGAAAUUGGAAGGUCGAUCAUCGGCAAGGGCAAAUAUGGCAUUCUGUUUGCAAAGCACAUCAAUAAAAGCACAAGGUACAAAGAAAUGUCAUCGGAAAAAGUCUUGGGCAAAUUAUACUGAGCUUUUAUAUGUUAUAGUGAUAAUAUAGUUCAAUAACAACUAUGAUGGUAAUGUUAAAAUAGGAAUAGAAAAUGUGUUGGUGUAAUUGUUUGUACUUUGUGUUUUCUUUGUUAUGUUGUAAUUUUGUUGAAGUUGGGUGGCUAAGUAAAACCACUCACGAAACGAAAUUAGGCAUUUCCUUAUGAUUUUAAAAUGGUGAAGCCCUACCAACUCCUUUUCUCAAUUUGAUUUAUUGAUGAAAAGCUUAAUGGAGUUUUGCUUUGAUUGUUA